AAAUCCCAAUCACAUUCCAAACAUAACUACUGUACGCCACUGGCUCACUUUAGCUCUUCAUCAUAUUUUUUCUGGGGAAUUUUCUUGCUGCUUCUUCUUUCCCUCAGGAGCGGCCAUAUUUAUUAUUGUAGUUCAAAUACCUGGAGAUAUUUCAGUUGAAAAGUCGUAUAACAUCUCUCUAAGCAUGUCAAUACGUGUUCAGCUUAGUAUGAAUGUGCCAUUCCCACCGGAGAAAAGUAAAAACUGUCAAGGAAAUAUAUUUAACUUGUUUCUGCACAGAUGCCUGCAGAUAUCUUGCAUCUGAAGAAUAUUUAAAUCGUGUUUUGUUAAGAUAGGAUACUUAGAUGAUACAGUGGAGCAGCCAGGAGGUUAUAGUCUCUGCUAGACAAUUUGCCAGACAAGAAAGAUGGCUUGGUAGCAAUGCUGACAGCUUUAUUCUCAUGGCUUUGGCAGAAAAAAAUAGGCAAAAAGAUUGCAGAGGCGGCAGGCUAGAAUACAGCGUGAAAGUUCAGAAAAAUAUUAACUGGUUGUAAAAUGAGUGGGUGGAUGCACUAAAGGAGGUGGCAUUUCGGUUAUAUAACCACACUUAUUGCAACAUUUUUAUGGCUAAAUUAUGCUCUUUUUCUGUGCUGUAUUUUUGCAUCUGCUGCCCAGCCCCAGUGGUGAGGGACAAAAUGUUUAUUUGGCAGGAGAAAAGGGCAGCAGCCAUUCAUCAUCUUCAGCCAUUGGCCCGACUGAAGAUUCCCCUGAGAAUUCCAUUUCUAAUAUAUUAUACAUUGUAAUUUUACAAAUCUGAUUUUAUUUUCCAGACCAGCUACUUGCAGAAGGCCCCGACAAACAACCCUGAUCUGAAUGUGAAGAAGCUGUACUGUGCAUGCUGGACAUUGGGUGCAGCAGCUACAGAGAAUUCAAAUUAAAACUUCUUCUGGAGCUCAGGGCUAGACUCUGCCUAACACACAUUGCUCUUCAGGAGAUGGAAGGUAAAGAAAGCAGCAUGGCUCUGACGUACACUCCUGGCUUUGGACCACAUCUUCGCUUAUAAUUUAUGAACACGGGGACUUGCGACUGGCACAAAAUUAUAUAGAAAAUGCCUACAGCUGCUCCAAAGCCACAGAUGUUGUCCUAGCAGGAGCCAGGAAAGAAGAGAAAGACCAAGAAAGAACAGUAAGAACUUAGUAUGACAGAGUACUUGAACACUGGUUUAAGUUGAAGCAACCAUGUGGAAAUCAACAGGAAAGCUCACUUCAUACAGGAAAGGUAUAAGCAGAGAUGACAAAGGAGUUCUUUGAUCAGGCUUCUUGAAGGGGGAUUUGGAAGAGCAUCUGCAAGGUCAACAUUUCAUACUGUCCUCAUUCAGAGAUCUCUGGCUCAGUUAUGGAGGUACAGUGACGGUUUUUCUUUUAUGUUCAAGUCCUUCACAAUUUCCCAUUGUCUGGUGCUUUGCAAAUGUCAGUGAAAAGCUCCCUACAUAAUCAAAGCCCAGCCUUGCUAAAUUGGAGAUAUAGCAUGAAAGGUGCACUAUAAAUCAUAGUGUGUCUUCACAGCUCCAUUCAUAUGUGAACAGUAUGCUAGAGCCCAUGCAUUAAGCAAUGGAGCUCUGGCAAACAGAUCCAAUUCUGCAUCAGCUGACAAAAAUAUGAUUUACCCAAAAGCUUUGCAUAUAGAAAAACUGUUUCAGACUCCCAGCUGGUGUUUUUCCUCACCUCUUGUGUUUGCAGCAGAAAGGAAUACUUGGAGCAGACAAGCUCGUUAGCUGUCAAUUAGCUGGUGAAUGUGCUCAGUGCUGUAGAUAAUGCAGCCAAGCAAAAUGUGCUUGGGUGGUGAGGCACUGGCACAAGUUGCCCCAAGGUGGUGGAUGCCCUGUCCUUGAAGACACCCAAGGUUGGUCUGGGCAGGCUCUGUGGGAGCUGUAGGCAUCCCUAUGCAUCGCAGGAACGUUGGGUUAGGUGGCCUUUAAAGAUCCUUUCCAACUCAAACAGUUCUAUAAUCAUUGCAGCUCUGGAAGCACAGGUUUCUACUGUCCUGCCCUGGUUGUGUUCAGUGGGUGUGAAGACCCAUCCAGCAGUGGAAAAAAAAUGGGUAAAGAAUAUCUCACCUGACUUCACACUUGUAGUCCCUCAGCGCUGUGUUUUGUGGAUUUCAGUUAUUUUUGGUUUCAUGUCUUUUCUUUGCCAAGUUUCAGGACGCACAGUAGAACUGUCUGUGAUUUCAGCAUAAAAUUGUUGCUUGCUGGUUUCUGGGAAGGUUAUAUUUGUGUUAAAUCUAGUAAACCUUACUGAUGGUUAAAUUGUUCCCAGCCCCUCUGAGGUGAACUGACACACUGCGUUUGUUGUUAAAAAGUGUUUAUUUAAAUUGAGUAUUUUGAGUUUUUUAUUCACUUUCUGUGAAUGUGUAAUGCACUCAGAUCUCCCUCUUAUACAUUGUUUAUAAGUUAGAAGUCUCUUAUUCCCUGUGUUGAUUCAGUUGUGAUGUGGCAGGAAAAGAGAUUCAAACCUAAUAUUAAUAUCACAGGACCUAAGCGAAUGCCUUUCUUUCUGUCUCUUCGACUCUCUCAAGGCAAGAGUUUCAGAUAAACCCUUGGCUGCUAAUUUCCAGGCUUCAGAAACCUGUUUGAUACUCAUUUGUGAAUAUGUUGGCGUUGCUCAAUAGCUGAAGUAGCUUUUCUCCUUCUCCAGAACUUAGGUACUUAAAUAAUGAGACUUAAAUAAUGAGGGUUUAAAUCAGUGCUUACUAUGGUACCAUUAUUUUUUUCCCAUUUCACAGAAUCAUAGAAUGGCUUAGGUUGGAAGGGACCUUAAAGGUCAUCCAGUUCCGUCCCCCUGCCCUGGACUGGCUGCCACCCACCAACCAGCUCAGGCUGCCCAGUGCCCCAUCCACAGCCUUGAACGCCUCCAGGACUGGGGCACUCACAACCCUGGGCAGCUGUGCCACUGCCUCAUCACCCUCUAUGUAAAGAAUUUCUGCCUAACAUCAUAAAAAUGAAUCUUUGUCAUCAGCAAGUGGAUCUCAAUGGUUAUGGGAUGCUGGUAGAAGAUGUGCUACCUUAAAGAGUGAAAGUGUGAUGGGAGAGGAAUAGUAUCACUUUAUGGUCUGUUCCCACCACCAUCCCUCUGCAUUGCCAGCUGUUCCCAGUCCUGGUGCCAAUCCUGGUGGGGCAUGUGGGAGGUGAGGAGAAUAUCCUGAUCUUAUAUUUCUGAUAUAAGUUUGGAAUUACUUCUGGAGUACAACCACCAGGCAGCAGAAGCAGCUGCUGGAGUGCUGAGUAAUUUUUAUUUGAAGAGUGAUGCAGGUUGGAGAGGAUCUGAAGUAGGAACGUGCUUGAUUUCCUGUGCUCAGCUUGAGGCACUCAGUGCCCUGUGAGUACUUGUGUGCACACCUGCCCACUCCUCAUACCCACCUGAGUGUGACAGGUGUGAUGAGAGGAGAAGAGGGACCCUAACUUGCCAGCACUAGGCUUCACCAGAGCAAAGGAGGUAGGAAAAGACUUCACUCGAAUCUCGAAAGCAGGGGUAAGGGGAGCUGCUUCUCCUGCAGGAUCUGCUCCUCCCUUUACCACUGUGACAUGUUGUAAAGAAAAUGCAACACAGGGUGCUCAAGAUGAAUAAUUUAGAGGCAAACAUGAAGCAUAAAACCAGUGAGCUGUGAAUAUGAAGCCAAGGCAGUGACUUGAAGCUGUGUCUGUGCGUGAUUUUCAAGGCAAUAUUGCCUUUUAAACUAUUAUCUCCAGAUGUUAAUCCAUAAUGGAAGCAAAACUGGAGCUUGGCCUCCUCAACUCAGUUUGUACAAUAGCAGCCACAUAUUCCCAUUGUAUUUAUCACAUAAAAUGCAGAAUUGCAAUUUUUCUGCUUUAUUUUUCUACUGGGCAGUUUUUCUGUUUAAGAAUUAUCACUCCCAAAUCCAUUAAGCAACGUAUUCUGCUCUUAUUAUGGAAAUCUGCAGUUGUACUGUGGUGGGCCACAAGUCUCAAAGACAUGAGCUAUCCUCUGACUGUGUACCAGUUUAUUUUGGAUCCAAAUUAUUGAUCCAUUUUGGCUUCCAGGGGCCAGAUCUGUAUGUAAUAGAAACUCGGACAGCUGCUGGAGAAACAGAGCAAGGCAUAUCUGGAGCAGCAACUGAGAGAUGCCAAGGCUGCAGGGCCGAAUGGCUGUCACCUUAUCAGUAUUACAGGUAGUGAAGGAUUGGCUGUUUUCCUUCUUUUUCAGGCUGCAAAGAGGGGAGCAGUGAAACAGGUGGCCAAAAUACACAGUGAGUUAUGUAGGCUACGUUGAAUUUAUGAGAGAUGAAAUUUGCUACCUCAUUCCACCCAUAAAAAUUAUAAAGAGAACAGAAAGUGACAUAAAAUCAAUCCAUUUCCAUGACAAAGCUCAUUAUGAGCAGAGAAAAUAUAGUCCCAUAUUAACUUGUUCUCAUUACUGUUCUAAGAUUUAUCAUGUCGGGUGCAAUGUGCAAGGGAGGAAAGGAAAACAUUCAGUGCCUUUACCUUUUAAAGCAAACAGACGUAUAAGCCAAAUGAUCCUCAUUAUGUUCAGCAAGAGUGUAUUUCCCAAGCUUCUGAAGGGACACAACUCUAGCGGUGCCAACCAGGACAAUUGCUCUGUCUGGGCUGCUGCCACCAACACAACUUCUCCCCUGGUGCCCAUGGAAACAGCUCUUGGAGGCAGCAUUGCUUUCUCUCCAUGGAGCAAGAAAGGAGGUGGUGGAUUAAUUGCUGCCGUACUGUACUUGCACCAGCACAGCCCUGCAAAGCACAGAAGAUAAAGCAUCACCUUCCUUUGAUUAAAGAAGAUACAACUAAGACUCCUUCACACUGACCUAGCACAGUCUAUCCAAGAGAGUUUUGCAUAUGCUAUUGGGAGCGUUGGUCAUUCUACAGCUAACAUCACGUGCUGAGGGAUGUGGGAAUCCAUAGGAAGCGUGGAAAAGCUGGCUUUUCCUGCCUCUUGCUGGAGACAAUUGGAUGCCCAUUUGGAUACAUCUUCAACCUGGUCCACACCCCCUCCCCAGCAACACCUGUCCUGCAUGUCCUGACGUCACUGUUCAGCCCCGCACAUGAAGGAAGAGCCUCUUCCUGAGCCUUGCUGAGGAAUCGUUACUUCGUAUAGUUGUUACAGGCUGUGCUGAGCGCUGUGUUGCUGCUGGUCUGUUGGUUGUGGGGAACAAUGGCUCAGCUUCACAGACAGGUUCUUGUAGAAGCCCUGGCAACCCCGGGAACAAGAUUCACACCUCAAGUUGCUUACACUGGUGCUUUCCAGGCCUAAGAAUGCAUGUCAUUCUCACCUACUUUCAGACUUACUGUGGGCUCCUGCAACUGGACAUGUGAGUCAAACUGGCUCGAGUCACUGAAAAUAUCUGAAUGUCUGAGAAACUGUCUUGUAAGGAGUUCCUGAUUCAAGCCCUGGGAUAACAGGCUGCAAAUCAGAGUUGCAUUACCACAUGGAGCUCAGGCUAGAAACCCUACAAGGAUAAAGUACUUACCAAACAGAAGGACAGAGUUGCCCUAUGGAUUAUAAUGAGUAAGUGUCAAAUAAUUUCAUUAUUAUUUUCUUUUUUUAGAAGAGAUUUAUUAAGCAUCUCAAAGCAUCCAGAAGGUAUAUUAGAAAAUGUUCAGGCCCUCCUACUGACACCUUUCUUACCAAACAUCCAUACAUAAAUUUGACAGAAAUAGGGAAUAUGAAAAAUACAGCAACAAAAUGCUAAGUGUGUUUUACAAAUUUUGUUUUUAUUUUCCAAGAAAUGCAAUAUAAGGAAUAAAUUCAAGUCCUACCUCAGUCAAUAGAUAAAGACCAUUAUUCUUCAGUGGAAUGAAAGGUUUCACUGCAGAACUUUUCUAUGAGAUAUGAGCAAUCUACAUUUAAGAAGACAGUGUAUCUAUGGAAGGAUUUUUACAAGUCGUUCUUCAUAGCAUGUAUGUAAGUGAUAAUUAAAUACAUCUCUUGGGUGAUAAACACAUGGGAGGAAAAAUAAGACUUUCUUUGAUCACAUACAGGUUCCACUGAAGCAAAGAAAGGUGAUAGCUGCUCUAUGGGCAGCUGUUACCUUCAGGUUUGGGUCAUUUGCCUCUGAAGUCUUUGUUUUUACCUGGACACUAGGAGCUAAACUCAAAAAGAUGCAUGAUUCCGCUGUGGGAUGCCAUGCUGACCAUCCACAGUGCUCAGGCAAUGGCCGCUUAUUACAAAAUGAAUCAGUGCUUGUUGUCAGAACCCAGAUCAACAUUAUCACCAGCGGAGGAGAGAUUCCUACAUGGCCUUAGCUCUACUUCUGCAACACUGACCCAGGGAAGCAGUAUUUCCUGCAGCAUGGAGGACAGCAUGAGGCCACCAGGUAUUGCAGCACCAGCAAUGGGAUGGUGACUAGCUGGGAGGAGGCAGCUGUGUUCAGAUUCCCUCCAGGAUGGAUGCACAAAGUUUCAGCUCUAAGACAGUGUUUUAAAUCAUUAUGCUUAAGUAGCACAAUGCACAAAGGAGGCAGGCAGUGGUUUAAUGCACACUUGCUGGUAUUUUCUAUUUUCUAGCAGUAGGAUGCCUGUGCUCAGCUGGCAGGCUGUCAGCUCCCCUCCUCAGCUGCUGAUUGCUUUCUUCCGUAUGCAAGCUUCUUGACUCAGGGCAAUGGAUCCCAUUUCAGCUGUGGCAUGUCUAAGCUUUAUUCACUGACUUGAUGCCCAUAGUUUCUCAGUACUUCAUUUGUACAGUUAACUACUUGUAAUUAUUGCUUCACCAGGGUGCUGUAAAAAACUAAAAACUACAAGGCAUUUAGAUAUUGGUUAGUUAUAUGCGAUCUCUUAGGGGAAAAGAAAAGAAAAAAAAAAAAAA